rnacentral:miRNA from 1 species
AGAGGUAUACCCAUUAGCUCUGA